AUUGAACGCUGGCGGCAUGCCUUACACAUGCAAGUCGAACGCCAGCAUGAUCUACCUUGCUGGAUGGAUGGCGAGGGGCGACCGGGUGGGUAAUACAUCGGAACGUGCCCUGUGGGGGGGGAUAAUUAGUCGAAAGAUUGCCUAUUACCGAAUACGACCGGAGGGUGAAGGGGGGGGACCGCAAGCCCCCAGCCUAUAGGAGCGGCGGAUGUCUGAUUAGCUAGUUGGUGGGGUAAAGGCCCACCAAGGCGACGAUCAGUAGCUGGUCUGAGAGGACGAUCAGCCACACUGGGACUGAGACACGGCCCAGACUCCUACGGGAGGCAGCAGUGGGGAAUUUUGGACAAUGGGGGCAACCCUGAUCCAGCAAUGCCGCGUGUGUGAAGAAGGCCUUCGGGUUGUAAAGCACUUUUGUCCGGAAAGAAAUCGCACUUACUAAUAUUAGGUGUGGAUGACGGUACCGGAAGAAUAAGGACCGGCUAACUACGUG
rnacentral:rRNA from 1 species